rnacentral:rRNA from 1 species
GCCUAACACAUGCAAGUCGAACGGUAACAGGAAGCAGCUUGCUGCUUCGCUGACGAGUGGCGGACGGGUGAGUAAUGUCUGGGAAACUGCCUGAUGGAGGGGGAUAACUACUGGAAACGGUAGCUAAUACCGCAUAACGUCGCAAGACCAAAGAGGGGGACCUUCGGGCCUCUUGCCAUCGGAUGUGCCCAGAUGGGAUUAGCUAGUAGGUGGGGUAACGGCUCACCUAGGCGACGAUCCCUAGCUGGUCUGAGAGGAUGACCAGCCACACUGGAACUGAGACACGGUCCAGACUCCUACGGGAGGCAGCAGUGGGGAAUAUUGCACAAUGGGCGCAAGCCUGAUGCAGCCAUGCCGCGUGUAUGAAGAAGGCCUUCGGGUUGUAAAGUACUUUCAGCGGGGAGGAAGGCGAUAAGGUUAAUAACCUUGUCGAUUGACGUUACCCGCAGAAGAAGCACCGGCUAACUCCGUGCCAGCAGCCGCGGUAAUACGGAGGGUGCAAGCGUUAAUCGGAAUUACUGGGCGUAAAGCGCACGCAGGCGGUCUGUCAAGUCGGAUGUGAAAUCCCCGGGCUCAACCUGGGAACUGCAUUCGAAACUGGCAGGCUAGAGUCUUGUAGAGGGGGGUAGAAUUCCAGGUGUAGCGGUGAAAUGCGUAGAGAUCUGGAGGAAUACCGGUGGCGAAGGCGGCCCCCUGGACAAAGACUGACGCUUCAGG